CUCUUCACUCACUCCUUGUGAAGUGUUUGGUGUUUUAGUUGAGCUCGUCUCUCUUGUGCAUCCAGACUCCCUCAUUCCUCACAUUGGAUUGUCAUGGCUGAGAACAAUGGGAACGUACCAAACCCUAAUCCUGGGCAGAAUCCUGAUCAGCAGAUUAAUGCACUGAUUUGCUUCAUAGAACAUAUCCUCAAAGAGGACCUUGGUCUUUUGGAGAAUCCUGCGUAAGUACACAGAGCAUGGGCACAGCGUCUUUAAUGUUGAAUUAAAUGUUCUGAGUAAAUAUCUUGAAAAUGUACUGUUGAUACAUUACUUACAUUAAGUAGAUGUAUUGUUGACAAUGUAUGUUGUAUG